CGCGGCUCUGCGGCUCCCUGCGCGGCCCCUGCGCUGCCUCCGGGGCGGCGAGGACGGGCCGCUCCUCUCCCGGAAAGUUCGUGAGGGUCCCGGGCACCGGGGCGAAGUUAGCAGGGUCCCCGAGCGCCCGGAUUGCAGAAAUGCCCCCGAGCGCGUCGGAAGGUCUGGUCCGCUCCCUCCUGCGGCUCUGCAGCGGGAGCGAGGCCCUGGGCCGGCGCGGAGACCGGGGUGCGCGGCGGCCUCCCCUGCAGGCCCGGCAACCAAGUGAGAUGUUGUGAGAAAAACGGCGUGGUAGACAAGUGCACAAAAUACAGUUCCCCUGGAGAUCCUAUGAGGCGCCUUGUUCCGAAGGCCACGGAUCUGCUAGACCAGAUGCCUUAUGAGAGUGCAGACCAUAGUGUUCCUACCACACUGCGUCAUUCGAGUCAUUGCGAGACAUGGAGAGGAGCAGGAGAUUUGUUAUUUGCAAUAAGAAAAUGCCAUGGACAAAUGAUUACUAGUCUAUAAAAUCCAAUCAUGGUAAAGGACAUUGUUUAUACCAAAA
rnacentral:lncRNA from 1 species